rnacentral:rRNA from 1 species
GUAGGUGGCAAGCGUUGUCCGGGAAUUAUUGGGGCGUAAAGCGCGCGCAGGCGGUUCUUUAAGUCUGAUGUGAAAGCCCACGGGCUCAACCGUGGAGGGUCAUUGGAAACUGGAGAACUUGAGUACAGAAGAGGAAAGCGGAAUUCCACGUGUAGCGGUGAAAUGCGUAGAGAUGUGGAGGAACACCAGUGGCGAAGGCGGCUUUCUGGUCUGUAACUGACGCUGAGGCGCGAAAGCGUGGGGAGCAAACAGGAUUAGAUACCCUGGUAGUCCACGCCGUAAACGAUGAGUGCUAAGUGUUAGGGGGUUUCCGCCCCUUAGUGCUGCAGCUAACGCAUUAAGCACUCCGCCUGGGGAAUACGGCCGCAAAGGCUG